rnacentral:rRNA from 1 species
GAUGAACGCUGGCGGCGUGCCUAAUACAUGCAAGUCGAGCGAACAGAUGAGGAGCUUGCUCCUCUGACGUUAGCGGCGGACGGGUGAGUAACACGUGGAUAACCUACCUAUAAGACUGGGAUAACUUCGGGAAACCGGAGCUAAUACCGGAUAAUAUAUUGAACCGCAUGGUUCAAUAGUGAAAGACGGUUUUGCUGUCACUUAUAGAUGGAUCCGCGCCGCAUUAGCUAGUUGGUAAGGUAACGGCUUACCAAGGCAACGAUGCGUAGCCGACCUGAGAGGGUGAUCGGCCCCACUGGAACUGAGACACGGUCCAGACUCCUACGGGAGGCAGCAGUAGGGAAUCUUCCGCAAUGGGCGAAAGCCUGACGGAGCAACGCCGCGUGAGUGAUGAAGGUCUUCGGAUCGUAAAACUCUGUUAUUAGGGAAGAACAAAUGUGUAAGUAACUAUGCACGUCUUGACGGUACCUAAGCAGAAAGCCACGGCUAACUACGU